UGCACUUAUGUUUUUGUUUAACUUGUGGGCAAAGACUUAUGGAUAAGUGCAAAAAAUAAAUCCUCUUUUGCAACCCAGAACUCAUUGUUCAGUAUGAGUUUUGAUACAUGUAAGAAGGGAUAUU
rnacentral:snoRNA from 1 species